rnacentral:rRNA from 1 species
AUUGAACGCUGGCGGCAGGCCUAACACAUGCAAGUCGAGCGGAUGAAGGGAGCUUGCUCCUGGAUUCAGCGGCGGACGGGUGAGUAAUGCCUAGGAAUCUGCCUGGUAGUGGGGGAUAACGUCCGGAAACGGGCGCUAAUACCGCAUACGUCCUGAGGGAGAAAGUGGGGGAUCUUCGGACCUCACGCUAUCAGAUGAGCCUAGGUCGGAUUAGCUAGUUGGUUGGGUGAAGGCCUACCAAGGCGACGAUCCGUAACUGGUCUGAGAGGAUGAUCAGUCACACUGGAACUGAGACACGGUCCAGACUCCUACGGGAGGCAGCAGUGGGGAAUAUUGGACAAUGGGCGAAAGCCUGAUCCAGCCAUGCCGCGUGUGUGAAGAAGGUCUUCGGAUUGUAAAGCACUUUAAGUUGGGAGGAAGGGCAGUAAGUUAAUACCUUGCUGUUUUGACGUUACCAACAGAAUAAGCACCGGCUAACUUCGUG